AGCUGCGCGGACGGCCUGGGACCGUGCGGCGCCUGCCCGGGGCUCCCGCACUGCGCACGCAAGCAGGCUCGUCGGCGUGGGAUUUACACGAACUGGGGGCGAGGCAAUUUUGAGUUGAUGGUGGCAGCAGCAGUAGCAGUGGCAAUGGGGGCCUUCAGGAACCUAAAAUUCUGAGUGAGAAGAAUCUUCAUCUCUGAUCAGAGGGGCUGUGAUUCUCAAGAGGCACACUGUAGAUUUGAAGACUAAACUAGGGCAGACACCUCCCAGGCCCCAGACUGGCCACUGGAUGGUACAUCUGGAGGACGGAGCUGAAUAGGACUGCAAAGGCUUGUAAAUGGAGCUGAUGCCAAAUUGCAGCCCACAGAAGAUUGGAUAAAACUUCCAGCCUGAACUCAACCAAGUCAAUUGCCUAUUUAAACAAAAACAUCAACAUUCUCAUAGGAUUUAGACAGAACGCAGAGUCCUAUGACAUAAUAUUCAAAAUGUCCAGGAUACAAUCCAACGCUUUUGUAACAAUGAACACAUAUUACUCAGCCUACAGAGAGCCAGGAAAACCUUAAUUUGCCUGGCAGGAGCCAAUCGUAGAUGUCAACACUGACAUGACAUAGAUGUGGGAAUGUCUGACAAAGACUUCAAAGCAGCUUUAUGUCUGUCUGUGUGCCCGUAUUUGUUUAUGUUGUUUUGGGUACUGUCCCUUUGUAAUAAGUUUUAAAAUCGGGAUGCAUGAGUCCUAUACUUUUUUUUUUCUUUUUCAAGGUUGUUUUGACUAGUUGAGGUACUUCGGAAUUCCAUGUGCAUUUUAGGAUGAAUUUCAGCAAAUGACAUCACUGGAAUUUUGGUUGCGAUGGUAUUGAAUCUGUGUAGCAUUUUGGGUAGCAUUGACAUCCUAACAAUACUGUCUUCCAAUCCACAAACUUGGGAGGUCUUUACAUUUAUUUGUAUCUUCUUUAAUUACUUUCAGGAAUGCUUCAUAGUUUUCAGCAUACAAACCUUUGGUUUCCUUAGUAAAUUUUUCCUAAGUAUUUUAUACCUU